AACGAACGCUGGCGGCAUGCCUAACACAUGCAAGUCGAACGAGACCUUCGGGUCUAGUGGCGCACGGGUGCGUCACGCGUGGGAACCUGCCCUUAUGUUCGGAAUACCUCCCCGAAAGGGGUGCUAAUACCGGAUAAUGUCUUCGGACCAAAGAUUUAUCGCCUUUGGAUGGGCCCGCGUUGGAUUAGCUAGUUGGUAGGGUAAAAGCCUACCACGGCGACGAUCCAUAGCUGGUCUGAGAGGAUGAUCAGCCACACUGGGACUGAGACACGGCCCAGACUCCUACGGGAGGCAGCAGUGGGGAAUAUUGGACAAUGGGCGAAAGCCUGAUCCAGCAAUGCCGCGUGAGUGAUGAAGGCCUUAGGGUUGUAAAGCUCUUUUACCCGGGAUGAUAAUGACAGUACCGGGAGAAUAAGCUCCGGCUAACUCCGUG
rnacentral:rRNA from 1 species